rnacentral:rRNA from 1 species
CAAACUGCGAAUACCGGAGAAUGUUAUCACGGGAGACACACGGCGGGUGCUAACGUCCGUCGUGAAGAGGGAAACAACCCAGACCGCCAGCUAAGGUCCCAAAGUCAUGGUUAAGUGGGAAACGAUGUGGGAAGGCCCAGACAGCCAGGAUGUUGGCUUAGAAGCAGCCAUCAUUUAAAGAAAGCGUAAUAGCUCACUGGUCGAGUCGGCCUGCGCGGAAGAUGUAACGGGGCUAAACCAUGCACCGAAGCUGCGGCAGCGAACGUAUCACUUAAAGCGAUUCAGCGGGUUACGAUUGACGGAGCGAAGCGACGUCAAAGCGUAUACAAAGUCGAGUCGGUUUAAGGAUACGUUCGUUGGGUAGGGGAGCGUUCUGUAAGCCUGUGAAGGUGGCCUGUGAGGGUUGCUGGAGGUAUCAGAAGUGCGAAUGCUGACAUAAGUAACGAUAAAGCGGGUGAAAAGCCCGCUCGCCGGAAGACCAAGGGUUCCUGUCCAACGUUAAUCGGGGCAGGGUGAGUCGACCCCUAAGGCGAGGCCGAAAGGCGUAGUCGAUGGGAAACGGGUUAAUAUUCCCGUACUUGGUGUUACUGCGAAGGGGGGACGGAGAAGGCUAUGUUGGCCGGGCGACGGUUGUCCCGGUUUAAGCGUGUAGGUGUGUGUUCCAGGUAAAUCCGGUUCACUUUAACACUGAGGCGUGACGACGAGGCACUACGGUGCUGAAGCAACAAAUGCCCUGCUUCCAGGAAAAGCCUCUAAGCAUCAGGUAACAUCAAAUCGUACCCCAAACCGACACAGGUGGUCAGGUAGAGAAUACCAAGGCGCUUGAGAGAACUCGGGUGAAGGAACUAGGCAAAAUGGUGCCGUAACU